rnacentral:misc_RNA from 1 species
AACGCACAUUGCGCCCUCUGGUAUUCCGGGGGGCAUGCCUGUUCGAGCGUCAUUACAACCCUCAAGCUCUGCUUGGUAUUGGGCGUCACCGUACCGGUGCGCCUUAAAAUCAGUGGCGGUGCCAUUCGGCUUCAAGCGUAGUAAUUCUUCUCGCUUUGGAGGACCGGGUGAGUGCUCGCCAGCAACCCCAAAUUUUUUUUAAGGUUGACCUCGGAUCAGGUAGGGAUACCCGCUGAACUUAA